rnacentral:rRNA from 1 species
UGGGGAAUCUUGCACAAUGGGGGUAACCCUGAUGCAGCGACGCCGCGUGAACGAUGAAGCCCUUCGGGGUGUAAAGUUCUUUCGACAGGAACGAUAAUGACGGUACCUGGAGAAGGAGCUGCGGCUAACUACGUGCCAGCAGCCGCGGUAAUACGUAGGCAGCGAGCGUUGUUCGGAGUUACUGGGCGUAAAGAGUGCGUAGGCGGCGAGCCAAGUUUGGUGUGAAAUCUCCCGGCUUAACCGGGAGGGUGCGCCGAAAACUGGUUGGCUGGAGUAUGGGAGAGGAAAGCGGAAUUCCUGGUGUAGCGGUGAAAUGCGUAGAUAUCAGGAGGAACACCUGCGGUGUAGACAGCUUUCUGGACCAAAACUGACGCUGAGGUACGAAAGCGUGGGUAGCAAACA